rnacentral:rRNA from 1 species
UGCAGAAUCCCGUGAACCAUCGAGUCUUUGAACGCAAGUUGCGCCCGAAGCCAUUAGGUUGAGGGCACGUCUGCCUGGGCGUC